rnacentral:rRNA from 1 species
UCUCCUGGCUCGGGUGGGCGCUUUGGGAGGGCGAGGGCUCUUGCGGGGUCAGGGGUUGGGAGGAGAGGAAUAAGGCGCGGGGCUGGGGCUAGGGUUUGGGGAUAGUGGGAAAGGGCAUCACGCCUCGGCGGUGAGGGGUGGGGCGCCUGGUAAAGCGUUUGGAUCUAGGUUCGGGAGCAGCGGCCGGUACCGGUGGGCGGCCCGGUAGAGCAGCCAGGAUGCGUGGCGGAGGGCGUAGGCGCGGCGGAGGGGAAGGGGCACGGGGGCGCGCGGCGAGGUGGCGGGCAGGGGCCGGCCGAAGGACGAGUUGGCGCGGCGGCGGAUGAGCAGUAGGCGGCGCCGCGUCCGGCGAGGCCAGUGCGGCGGUGGGUGGAGGCUAUUCGUGUGGCCGUGAUUCUAAUGGCUACUUAAGUGGCCGCGGCCACGCCACCCACUCCACACGGUCCAGUAACCCCGGCACCACCUGCACGCCAAGCUGCUCCCAGAGGGGGGCUAGGACUGCCGCGACCUCCACGAGCUGUUGUCGUAGGCGGAACACGAGCUCCACCGUGUCGUAGAGCCCCUCUUGCAGCAGGCGUGGUAGCGAUACCUGCCCUGCCUUCCAGAGCAGGCGCCGGUCGCGCAGGAGUUGUGGCCGAGGGGCUAGUGACAGGGACAACCAUCCCGCUGAGAACCCGCAUAAUAGUUACAAUAACCACUCGGUUAACUAGUGUUCCCUCUAUAUUUUUGUUUGUCAAUGGACGGAUAGGUAGCACUUCGGGGACGAAAGCAACUCGUUCGAUGGCUCGUUGUUUAGGAACAAUGACCUUAAUUCCAACACCUAGAUGAACGUGGGAUAGUUUCUCCACCAUUUUAACCAGAGAAGCCACCACGUCCCCACCCGUUUUGACAGGAAUAAUACCUCAACUAAUUGUUGCAACGGUUCCGGGUACCACCAAAGAGACAGAAACGACCACAACCUCUUGCAUGUGCACUCCCAUUACUGAACAUGUCCCUUUACUAACUCUCACCACAGUAAUUCGAGCUGCUGUUCGUCUCACUCUCGUUCACACGAGAACACAUACCCGUUUACUUACUCGGGGGACCACGAGCACGAGCACAACCUGACUGACCAAACUGACAGCGACUCGUAAAGGCACUACGGCUUCCUGUCCUACACGAAGAGAAGUAACUAUUGUAAAAGGCAAAGUGAGUCCGUUUGAGACUCCACAGACGAGACGAACCUGCAUAAGGUAGACGACACCCUAUGGUUGGUUGGGAACGAUGGCUGGACCCUCCCGACGUCCUCGCCUAAUGGUGGUGUUUUUUCCCAAGAUAAUGUAGGCACGUUCGAUAAAUACACGGUCGACUACUGAACUGUCUAGGCCGGGGACGAUGGUGAAAACGGGUAGAACUACGAUGGUGGCACGACAGUGCUGUCUAAAGACUCGAGCCAUAAAUAGGACGACAGCUAGGAAACCUAAGGUGUAGGUCUUACAACAGAGGAGUACAAGAACCGCUCCGAGUGAUGUUGUGACGAGCACCACAAGUCUUCCAAGAAGUCUUAAUGUUCUUAGAAGUUCUAUAAUAACGGUAAAACCCUUACCUACUCGAGUCACUCCUGCUGUUCAAUUGUCAGCGAGCACGAUCCUUUUAAGUCGCCAAGGAAUCGGUUGGAAAGGUACAACGACUUCAAAAGUGUCCGCGUGGACCUUUCAUACAACUCGAAUUCCUCCCACAAGUUUCAAAGGUCCCACAAGACCUACCCUUUAUGCUACUGGAAAGUCUCGUCCGUAAGAUGUACCAACCUCCUUAUCUCCUCCAGUAACGGUUCCGACUCUUCUAACGGUUCCUCUUGCGAACUAUUCUUUGAAGGAGAAAUGUUCGUUGGACGUUAAAAUUGGAAAAGCACCGGGCCGGGACGACUACCUACAAAGGGGGGAGGUGAAAAAGGGCUUAUUCCUGAGCGUCACUGGAUAAAUAGACCGAAUGACGGGAAGUUCCUUCUCUCACAAGAGAAAAACACUGUGUACUCGCCGGUGUGGCACACGAACAAGAGCCACUUUUUUCUUUGACUUUAUAAACAGAGAGUACGACGACAGCAGCAUGCACAGCAUAUUCAGUACUCCCAACGGUAGCGUUCGUAUAAGAGAAAAGACACGAU